rnacentral:lncRNA from 1 species
ACAUUUCUUAUUUUGUUUAUGAGAACUUCUGUAUACUUUCUGAUAGCAUAGAAAAGAUGCUUUCAAAAACUACUUAGUAUGAAUGAUUUCACUCAUGUAAUUGUGUAUCUUCACAUACUGAUAGAUAAUAUGUAGGUAUAUUCUAGGUUGUUAACAUGAAUCAUCUAGGGACUUGUGGCUGCACCAUAGACUGAGAAGGAAGAAGUAGAAAAAGGCACUUAAACAAAAACAAAGACCGAAAAAGUACAGCCAUUGUGAUAUGGUUCAAGUUAUACACUUAUGUAUGCAAAUAAUUUUUUAAAAAAAUGAAUGGUACGUUUUCACCUUAAGAGGAUGCUAUCUAAUGGUAGAACAUCAGUAACUGUAAGCUGAGUGUAUAUGGGGAUUCAUUGUUUCCAUUCUACUUUUGUAUAUAUUUAAAAUUCUUUACAAUAAAAACAUUUCAAGAGAAGAUUUUUAAGAAGGAAUUCCAUUAAUUUUUAGUUGGAAAUCAGUUGCUGCUUUAUUCACAACCUGCCAUCAGGGCUAAGAAGUACCUUUUGUAGUUGUGGUUCUAUAGAUGGGGAAUUGUAAAAGUUACACUGGGUGCUAACUAGGUGAGAGAACAGAAAAGGACAUUAGAGAGCUGAAAAGGAAUUUAAAAAAAGCACUAAGAUUACAAGAUUAACAUGCUUAAGUGUCAAUAAUUGAAUAGAGUGGAUACAUUGGUGGCUAUUUCAUUUUUAAAAAUUUGAAAGUAAAUUGGAAAUUUUCUAGAGAAAAUUACAAAUCCUCCUUACAUUAAAUAAUGACUUGCUGCCUUGGUGAAUCUCCACAUCACUUACUUGUGUAUGACCUGAUUUAUGUUUCCACGUAGCUAAAGGAAAAGUCUACAAGAAUAGGUUACUGGAUGGUUUGAAGUCUCUUAAUGGAGGGAUUGUUAAUGCCAAUAAACUUGAUUCAGUUUUGAAAACCAUGGGAUGGAAACUCACAGAAGAUGAAAUUAAGGAUCUCAAAUGCAACCUGCCCACUGAUGGUGAGCAUUGAAAAUAUUUUU